rnacentral:sRNA from 1 species
AAGGCAGAACAUCACUUUGACCUCAGCUGGAAAUGUGCAUGUCAGGAGACUAACAUCUUUCACAUGUCCCCAAAUGACCAUGAAAACACAAGUAUUGAUUUGGGGAUUAACAAUUAAAUUUUACCAAGUAGGCAAAUUUGGAAAUAUAGAAUCUGUGAAUAAUGAAGACUGAAUAUUGAAAGUCUUUAAAAUGUUUGUUACUAACUUUAUAGUAAUUUUGGUGUUUAUUUCUCAUUUAACUAAGACAGUAUUCAAGGUAAGAUUUUGUAUCUUUUCAAAUGUUUGGCAAUUUAAGAAAUAGAAUUUGGGGGAAUAGUCUAAAAUUUUGUGGCUUAGGAUGUAGUUUAAUAUCUAACAGAUAAUUUUGGAAAUAGAAAAUGUGAAUUUUGAUUGCAAUUAUUUUGAAAUCUUUACCAGAUUGUCCCAGAAGAGGUUCAAACAAUUGGUAGAGAGAUUGCUGCAAUUUAUUUCUUUACGCCUGUUUCCUGCAAAGCCUGAAGAAUUUCCACCUAUAACAAAGUGUUCCUGGUGGAUUCCAUCAGCCGCUAAAGUGUUGGCUUUACUUAAUACUGCAAACAAUUUAGUUCACCCUCCCCUUAUUCCUUAUACUGAUUUCUAUAAUUCUACAUUGGAUCACAUUGAUCUCAUGGAAGAAUAUCAUACUUGGCAAAACUUUGGAAACUCUCACAGGUAUGAACAAAAGUUCCUUUGAUUAUCCACCUAAAUGAAAUACACUAUUCAAAAGAAUGACUAGAUUUUAAGUUUAUAUGAAGUUUACACAUACGUUUACAUAUAAAUGUAUAAAUAUAGUUCAGAUGGCCUUGAAAUACCAUAUUUAUUAAAGUAUUUUCUUUUUCUGCUACAUUUUGAAUCUAUGUACAUGUUAAUUUGGUUUUGGUUUGGUUAAUAGCAUCUUUUCAAGAAGGGAGAGGUUCUAUCUUAAUAUGCAGUCUCUUAUCUCUUACUAUUCUAUGCACAGGGGUCAGCAAAACUUUUUCUGUAAAGAACUAGAUGGUGAAUAUUUUCAACACUAUAGGUUACACAGAUUCUAUUUUGCUAUUUUAGCACAAAAGUAGCCAUAGACAGGAUGUAAAUGAAUAGAUAUGUCUGUGUCCCAAAUGACUUUAUUUACAAAAACAGGUUGUAGGCCAUAUUUGUCUUAGGCCCAUGGUUUGCAGAUGCAUGAUCUAAUAUAUUGAUCACACACAGACACACACAUACAUUCAUUUCUCAUUUCUUCUGUAAGAAAAAGUGGUUGUCCAUUAGGUGCAAUAUAAAAAGAGUAGAUGUUACAGAGAAAGGGCCUUACCACAGCUUAUUUAUUAUAAUAAUUAAUAGAUUUGUAAAACAGUCACCAAAUUAUUUAAUACACUGCACUUUAUAUCCACACUUCUAGUUUGGAUUAAACUAGCAAGACUAUUCCAAACAUAAUUUAUCCUCAGGUCAUGAGAUGUUCAGGAGAUUGCAUUUAAUUGUAGAGGAAUCUGAGUAAAGAGAUACGGUGUGGAUAUAAGUAACCUCAAAACCCCAGAUUAGUUUGUAAAUUGGUUAAACUUUCCAGGGACCCUCUUUAUCAGAAUUGGCCUGAAACAUAGAAUGGGCUUCUGGACACAUCUCAUUUCACAUCUGAACACUCAGAACUGAAUAAGAAUAAGAAUUUAAGUUCUGGGCACCCUAGUCCCAGAUGGAUAUUUUCUUGGCAACGUUUACUUUACAAAGAUACUUUUUCCUUCCAUUUUAAUAUAAUUGUAAUGUGUUGUAGAUACAACCACAAAACAACGCCAAGAAUUAUUAUGCAUAUUUCACUGACAACAACAUCUUUUAAUAUAGAGCUUCCUCUAACAACUGUGCCACAACACUGGUGUACCAAGAAUGAGUUACAUUAGGGUUUUAAUCCUAGGAUCCCGUCAACCCUUGGGUAGCCAGCCUGAACCUAGAGGGGAACAGGAGCCCUAUGGCAAGUGACCUCUGGCCAUGAGCAGCUUCAUCUGUUCAUUUCAGUGUAUCAUUCACAAAGUAUCAUUUCUCUUGUGCAUAACAAGGGAAAGGUUGAGAACCCCUGUCCUAAAGUACAUAGUAAAACUAAUAUAUAUCUUACUGAGUUCAUUGCAUUUUCUUUUUAUUUCCAAUUUUUUUGUUAGCAUUAAUGAUUCAAAAUAAUUAUAUACCAGUACUGAAGAACUCUCAACUUUUAUUAACAAUUUUGUCCCAUGGUAAAAGCCAUCUCACUUUCAGUUUACACUAAGGCUAUAUCCAUUUUCCUAAUAAUGCCUUUUUUCUCAGUGGUCACAGUUGUACCACCUGACUAUGCUCAGAGGGAUUCCAGCUGUAACUGAUAGAUUCACUGUAGUCACUUUGAAUGGCAGUCUUACUCCAGAAGUGUCAUUGCUGCCAUAUUCAUUCUUUCUAAAUGCAUUUAUCUCUGUGUAGUUUGUGGCUUUUGUGCAUAGCAUAGAAUGUUCUAGCCCAGGAGGGGUUAUUUUCAUAACCUUUGAUUAUAAUGUGUAAUUACAAAUACAUACCAUUUCCUAUUACCACACCAUUAAAUAUAAUACUAAAUGUAACAUACAUUUCUGAUUUCUUUUUAUUGGUCUUAAAUAUAUUACUUUACUUUUUACAUACUGUAGUUAUUGUUAGAUUUUUUCAUUUCUGGAACUCACACAUCAGAAGUCACCAUAUAAUGAUGGAUUCUUAUAUUAAUUUUGAGCACCUGGGUUUUCUGUACUACUUAACCAACACUUCUCCCUCCUGGUUCUGGUGUUGGCCAUGUUGUUCACAGGUGAUGAUAUACAAUGAAAUUAUUUGUAUAGACAAUGUAAGUGGUUAGCACACAUUCAGAACCUUUGAUGUAGCUUCUGCAGAGAAUAAAGGCAUUGCACAUCUAGUAAUGAUACAUUCUUCACAUGGCUGUGAGAAUUAAAAGAAAUUAUAUACAUACAAUCAUUUUGUAUAUGGUAAAACACAAUCCAAAAGUAAUGUUUUAUAUUGCUACAAGGGGUACCUUAGAUUCCCUUAGUAUAAUUUUGUUAAAAAUACACCAUUUUGCUUUUUCUUUUUUUCACUUGUUGAGCAGGUUUUCCUUCUGUCAGUACCCAUUCGUUAUUUCUGUAGCUGCAAAAAAAAUCAUUAUUCAAAGAGACUCAGAGCAACAGAUGAUAAACAUCGCAAGGGUAAGUCAGCUAUAAAAACAUAUUUAUGCUGACUAUAAUCAGUAUAGUAAAUAAUUUAAUAAAUAAUUUAAAUGUCUUGUGAAUUGUUCUAGCAUAAUCAGGAAUGUUAAAAGCAAAAUUCGUGUUAUACUCACCCAAAAAGUGCUUAAAAACUAUUUACAAUUUGGGAGACAAGAUAACUCUCAUCUCUUCUGAUCAACUUCUCAUUAUAUUAUAAAUAUACUAGGAAGAGUAAAUGCUUCUCACAGAUUCAAAUUACUGAGCGCUUGUUGGACCUCGUUUUGCAGAUACCAUACCACCAACCUUAGAUAACCAGCAGAGCAUUGAGAACUGCGGUGAGGCAGAGUGUCAUUAGGCAAACCACUCAAACUACUGAAACAUUUUCUAGGUUUUAUGAAAAUCAGAAACAACCGAAAAAUUAGAAAAUGUAACAAAAAGUGUGUCUUGGAGAACUGAGAAAUAUGCCCAAAGAAGGUGAAAGAUGUUUUAUUGGUUCUUAGGAAACCAAAAUGCAUGGAGACCCAAAGAGGCUGGGGAUAGCAAGCAGACUGAGUUUAGGCAAAUUGUAGAGCAGUAUGAAGUUAUCUCUCAGUCUGUCCUUACCACUUCCUAUCCCUUGUGUUUCAGCUCAGCACAGUAAUGUACUUUAUCUAAUAAAUAUCAGAUUCAGUGAGGUUUUUCUGUUAGAGCUCUAAACUAUUUGUUUAAGUGCUUAUGUAUUUCAAACAUCUGCUUGUGUUACAUGAUUGCUCACAAUUUUAAAAGAGGGAAGCUUGGCUGUGGUCUUCUUAAUUGAAAAAGGAAUAUAGAGUAAAAAGAAAUGAUUUCCAUCUUGUUCAAGAGUAUAAAAAGAAUCCUAAAGCAUAAAUUGUAAUACUUCAAAAUGCUAUAAAAAAUAAGAAUGUUUAUUCUUCAGUAAUUCAGUUCCCAGAAGGUGAGUAUUUCUUUCUAUCACAGAGAAGGACAAAAGAUUUGAGUAACUGGUGACAUCCCAAAGUCAUCUUAUACUGAAUAUGGGAAUAUUAGAAGAAAUUUUAUUGCCUAUGCCCAUCAAGGGAAUUCCAAAGCCACACUACCCCCCUGAAGAAUGAGUUUAAACAGGUAUAUUCAGCACCAGAAUUGUUACUUGAUCUUGGGUAGAUAUUGGCUCAAUGAUUAGCUGUAUAGCUACUCAUUCUGACAUUUUCUGUUAGUUGUACUCGUACAAUGUCGUGCCUUUUUAGUAUUUUUUCACCUUGGUCUAUGAUUUUUUUAUAUUUGUAAGAAAAUCUACAGUGCUUUUGUACGUAACAGAAUGAGCUAGUUUGUGUUAAACUAGCAAGACUAAACAGUUUUUUCUGUGUCACUCACAGGAUAUCAAAUAUCUUUUUGUGGAAUUUUUCUUCUACUUUAAAGAAGGAGAAUGGCAGGUGUAGACUCUGUGACAGGCUAAGUUUUCUACAGAGCAUGCAAACGAAUGAGUAGACACUUGACAUUGAGAGCUAAGUGGCAUUAUCAGUUUUUUAUGGGUGUUUCCCAACAUUUUAUCUCAUAAGUUGCCAUAUCACUUGGAAUUAAUGACUGAUGACUAUUUUGACACAAGGACAAUCUUACAAAUAGUCAGUGUAAGCAAGAGCUUAUAUGGUACAAUCUAAAUAUACAAAAUUGGUUUCCUAACCUAAAAUAAGUUCCUCAGUCACACUGUCGAGAAUUGUAUCAUUGUUGGGUUAUUUUUUCAUUUGGAGCAUUUUCCAGUAAAUAUGAAUUCCUGAUGGGAGGAGUAGCUACUAAUCUUGUUUGCCAUUAGCAUCCUAGCAUAAAUUUGUUUAUUAGUUAUUUCCAAUGUGACAGCUGCCCAAGAGCUAGACUGGGAACAGAAGAUAGGAAAAGGUAGGAAAAAACGGUCUGUAACACAGGACACUAUGCUAGGAAUGCAGACUUCCUUGAUAAGUGAGGACACAGAAAUAAAAGGCUGUUAAUAGCAUUUAGCAUUGUAUAUGGGAGAAAUGGAGAAGGCUCCAAAUUAGUGUUUUAUUAUAGUAAUCUUCAAAAUCAUAAGUAGCCUUAAAUUGUAGAUUUGUGAUACUAAAAUUUUAUCUAUUAAAGCAAAUUGCUGCAUGUAUUUAAAAUGUCUGAAAUGUUUAUCUUUAAUCUGCACAAUAGUUUUCAUUGUUACCAAAAAAAGAUAUAGUCUAAUAAAGACUAUUUAGAUAAAUAUAUAA